AUUCAGGUCCUUGUUAAAUUACUCCAAAGGGUUAUAUUGCUCAGACAUGAGGGUAUGGGUCUUAGUCGUCUUAACCUCCUGAUCUUCACAUCUUUUUACCAGGAAUGCUAGGAAUCGUAUCAACUGGUAAUUAGGGACAAACUUAUUUACCGUGACAUUGGGUGUAAGUGUUUUAGUGAGGGACGUUGACAUAAAUGAAUAAAGAAGAAUUCUUAUAUACAUGAGAGGGAACUUG
rnacentral:lncRNA from 1 species